GGUCCCUUCACUGCCUGGAAAUACUCUGGAAGAUAAUUAUGAUGAUGUGACAGAAGCUCCUGGACCAAAAGAUGAUCCUCUUUCUGAGCAGAAAGAACAGGAAAUCAUUGUGGUCAUUGAAGAAAGUAAAGGAAGCCGGGAUUCACAGACCGAUUGGAAUCCUAAUGCACCAGGAAACAGAACCUCUGAGGCUGAGAGAGAGGAUUUAUCCCCUCCUCUUGAAGAUACAGCUUAUGAUGAAAGUGAAGAGCUGGGACACUGACAAAGACUGCUGGACAAUACCAAACUCUUUUUGAAAUAGAUCUCUGUCUAUAAAAUGCUAAUCAGGUACUAGCAGAACCAGAGCAACCUUCACUUAGUAUUAGUUUACCUACCUUUUUUUUUUUCAGGAGAGGGAUCACAUAUUUAGAAGAAACACAAGUUUGACUGUUAAGAAAAUUUCUUAUUUCCCUUCUAAUUUCUUAUUGCCAUGUCUGCCUGGACAGUUUCUGCUUUUUAUUUCUAAAUAUUUUCACUGUUUUUUUUUUUUCCUACUGAGUUAAUAUUUCAACUUAUGAUAUUUCCUUAUUAAGAACUGUUUAAAGUGUUCAUAAUCUUGUACCAAGGACUAAGGCAGAAGAGGUUGGCACAGGGAUGAACUAAAUACUGUUUUAUAUUCACUGAGUAGCCUGGCAAACCUACACUUCUGUGUAUGUCUUGAUGGAGCACUGGAUGGAGCUUCCCCAUGGGAUCUUGUGAGAGUGCAAGAGUGCUUGUUAUUCUGUAAUGCAUAGGAUGUUUCAACUUGUCUGAUAUUAUUCUUUCUGAGCUAGGCUGAAAGUAGUGAGGAGGAAAUUCAAAAGGAAAGGCAAGUCUGGCAGAGACAAGGCACUUCAUUAGAAGAAAGCCUAAGGUAAAGCAACCACCUGGACAUCUAGCUCCAGGCAGGAGUGGUGUACUUCUUCCCUGGUUAAACCUACAUCACAGGAGGACCUGUCACAGGAACCAGGCCUGUAAGAAAAGAAGACUUGCUGGGUGCUUCUCCAGCAGUAUCAGUAAGACCUGACAGGCAGGCUAUGAGAUACAGAUGGAGGGAAACAAGUAGGUGGGAUUUGUACCUUGCGGAAUGCAAAAAGACACUUACAAGAGUAUGUACCAGCCCUCCUGUAAGUAAUAGAUCACUUCAAAGUAUUAAAUCAACAACCUAUAUUGGCUAUAGAGCAGUAGGAAACCUGAGAGAAUCAGGCUAAGGUCAAGGUGUCCUCAAAUUGAACCUUCAAACAUGUGAAAAAAUCGGGUAUAAAAGGAAAACACACC
rnacentral:lncRNA from 1 species